UGGAAGAGACAUUGGGGAGCAAAAGCCAAACCCUCGAGGUGCGGAUGGGGAAACUGAGGCCUAGAUUGGGGAUAUUGACUUGUCCAGGGCUCCGUGGUGCUGAGGCAGUAGGCAGGCUCCAUUCCUAGUUCCCAGCCAGGACCUCGGAUGGUGUCAGGUUCCCUUUCUGGUCCUAACUCACUCUUGGAAAAGAAACAAAUUCACAGCCCUUUUCAGAUGUCAGCCAAGGGCACCGGCUGACACCCAACACCCAAGGACCUGGACAUUUGCUGGUCCGCUAGAGGUGAAGCCUGGGGGCUGUGUGGACCGGGCUCCACAGGCAGCCCAAGUGAUACUCAUGUGAGCUAGUCUGGUGGUGGUCAGCUCUCCAUCUGCGUCUCCUUUUCUCACUAACCUCCCAACACCCCGGGGAAUUGGCGGAGGGGGCAGAGCAUACUAGUAUCUGGGGCAGCUGUCUGAGGAACCCCAUGCAGAAUGAGGCGUGUGGCCGAGGUGACAGAGGAAUAGAGGGGUCUGAGUCUGGAGAUGAAAUCACCCAAACGCUGGGACU
rnacentral:lncRNA from 1 species